CUGGUGUCAGCCGCCGCGGUAAUACCAGCACCCCGAGUUGUCGGGACGAUUAUUGGGCCUAAAGCAUCCGUAGCCUGUUCUGCAAGUCCUCCGUUAAAUCCACCUGCUCAACGGAUGGGCUGCGGAGGAUACCGCAGAGCUAGGAGGCGGGAGAGGCAAACGGUACUCAGUGGGUAGGGGUAAAAUCCAUUGAUCUACUGAAGACCACCAGUGGCGAAGGCGGUUUGCCAGAACGCGCUCGACGGUGAGGGAUGAAAGCUGGGGGAGCAAACCGGAUUAGAUACCCGGGUAGUCCCAGCUGUAAACGAUGCAGACUCGGUGAUGGGUUGGCUUCNAGCCNACCCAGUGCCGCANGGAAGCCGUUAAGUCUGCCGCCUGGGGAGUACGGUCGCAAGACUGAAACUUAAAG
rnacentral:rRNA from 2 species